rnacentral:rRNA from 1 species
UACGGAGGGUGCGAGCGUUGUCCGGAAUCAUUGGGCGUAAAGGGCGCGUAGGUGGCCGAGUAAGCGUGCGGUGAAAGCUCGGGGCUCAACCCCGAGUCGGCCGUGCGAACUACUCAGCUCGAGCACUGUAGAGGCAGGCGGAAUUCCGGGUGUAGCGGUGGAAUGCGUAGAGAUCCGGAAGAACACCGGUGGCGAAGGCGGUCUGCUGGGCAGUAGCU